UAGGGAAUCUUCGGCAAUGGACGAAAGUCUGACCGAGCAACGCCGCGUGAGUGAAGAAGGUUUUCGGAUCGUAAAACUCUGUUGUUAGAGAAGAACAAGGACGUUAGUAACUGAACGUCCCCUGACGGUAGCUAACCAGAAAGCCACGGCUAACUACGUGCCAGCAGCCGCGGUAAUACGUAGGUGGCAAGCGUUGUCCGGAUUUAUUGGGCGUAAAGCGAGCGCAGGCGGUUUCUUAAGUCUGAUGUGAAAGCCCCCGGCUCAACCGGGGAGGGUCAUUGGAAACUGGGAGACUUGAGUGCAGAAGAGGAGAGUGGAAUUCCAUGUGUAGCGGUGAAAUGCGUAGAUAUAUGGAGGAACACCAGUGGCGAAGGCGGCUCUCUGGUCUGUAACUGACGCUGAGGAUCGAAAGCGUGGGGAGCAAACAGG
rnacentral:rRNA from 1 species